GACGUAGGGCGCGAGCGUUGUCCGGAAUUAUUGGGCGUAAAGAGCUCGUAGGCGGCCUGUCGCGUCGACUGUGAAAAACCACGACUCAACCGUGGGACUGCAGUCGAUACGGGCAGGCUAGAGUUCGGUAGGGGAGACUGGAAUUCCUGGUGUAGCGGUGAAAUGCGCAGAUAUCAGGAGGAACACCGGUGGCGAAGGCGGGUCUCUGGGCCGAUACUGACGCUGAGGAGCGAAAGCGUGGGGAGCGAACAGG
rnacentral:rRNA from 1 species